rnacentral:rRNA from 1 species
CAAUACUUAGUGGCAGACGGGUGAGUAACAUGUAGGUAUCUGCCCUUUGGCCUGGAAUAACACGAGGAAACUUGUGCUAAUACCGGAUAAGUCUCUACGGAGAAAGCUUUAUGCACCAUUGGAUGAGCCUGCACUUGAUUAGUUUGUUGGUAGGGUAAUGGCCUACCAAGACUGUGAUCAAUAGCUGAUUUGAGAGGAUGAUCAGCCACAUUGGGACUGAGACACGGCCCAAACUCCUACGGGAGGCAGCAGUGGGGAAUCUUGCACAAUGGAGGAAACUCUGAUGCAGCGAUGCCGCGUGAGUGAAGAAGGCCCUUGGGUUGUAAAGCUCUUUCGUCGGGGAAGAAAAUGACUGUACCCGAAUAAGAAGGUCCGGCUAACUUCGUGCCAGCAGCCGCGGUAAUACGAAGGGACCUAGCGUAGUUCGGAAUUACUGGGCUUAAAGAGUUCGUAGGUGGUUGAAAAAGUUGGUGGUGAAAUCCCAGAGCUUAACUCUGGAACUGCCAUCAAAACUUUUCAGCUAGAGUAUGAUAGAGGAAAGUAGAAUUUCUAGUGUAGAGGUGAAAUUCGUAGAUAUUAGAAAGAAUACCGAUUGCGGAGGCAGCUUUCUGGAUCAUUACUGACACUGAGGAACGAAAGCAUGGGUAGCGAAGAGGAUUAGAUACCCUCGUAGUCCAUGCCGUAAACGAUGUGUGUUAGACGUUGGAAAUUUAUUUUCAGUGUCGCAGCGAAAGCGAUAAACACACCGCCUGGGGAGUACGACCGCAAGGUUAAAACUCAAAUGAAUUGACGGGGACCCGCACAAGUAGUGG